rnacentral:lncRNA from 1 species
GUGAUUUUUUGAGAUCAUUUCCCAAUUGAGGACGACAGACUACGGGAAAGAGGAGAUUGGUUGUGGUGGGGAUUGAAGCUGUGAUUUGGGAUCGGUUCAGCAUCUUCUGCUGAUAGGUUUAUCCAGCAGACUACAAGAGGUAAGAACCUGCUCUUAUAUAUCAUGCAAAGAAAUGGAUCAGAUCAGAGUUGCCAAACAUGAAAAGAGAACAAGAGCUAAAGCUGCAUAAAUUAACAGCUUAAUAAAAAGAAUACAAUUUUAUUGUGAUCUUUUGAAAAUAAAAGAGAAUAGAAAAAGGCUA